AGACAACAAUUGGCAUUCAGGAUCUAAGGCACAGGAAAGUGAAAGAGAGGAAACAGCAGAUAAGAUCAUGUUGUCCUCUAAGAGGCUCCACCCAGCAGCUGACUCAGACAGAUGCAGAUACUCACAGCCAAACAGUGGAUGGAGCUUGGGGACUCUAAUGGAAGAACGGGAAGAAGGAUUGUGGGCCAAAAAGGGAAGAACACACUUUUAAAGACUUGGCCAUUUUAUCCUGCAUAUGGUGCUAGAAAAUGACACCAUGACCCAAGAAAUCCUGGGGAGUAACAACGGCCAUGUUAAUGAGCUUGACUUGAUCACGCAGCAUUGUGUAUGUGCCCCGAAACAUUAAAGUGGAUUCAUUUGCCAAUCAGGAACUUUAAUCAUUAGAAUAAUCAAGACAAACGUAGGAACAAACACAGAAAUGAGUAUUAUUUGGAAUAAAGCUCUCAUGGCUGUGCUCCAAUACCUAGCCUACAAGCUUCAAGUAUAAGUAUGCAUGUAACACAAAACUGGGCAAUCUCACACAGAUUAGUAUACACUUGAAUGUUUUUCUGGUAGAGUGAACUUUUUUUUUUUUUUUGGGUCAGUGUCUGGCCCUAUUUUUAAAAUCAGAACUCUAAUAAGUACCAUGAUUCCUCUCCCUUUGCCUCUCUAGAGGAAAAAAAUGCCACAGUUGCAGGUCUCUUCCAUGCCAGGGGUUAAAACAGGCUGGCUUUGUUCUGCUAAUCUUUUUCACACGUUGGUGUAUCUUGUGAAUCUUUAGUUCUGUAAGACAUGAUGGAGCUUAUAAAAUGUUUGCUAAACUAAAGAAAACAUCUUUCCUGAAUCUGUUCUUUUGGGAUAGGAGAAAAAAUGGAGGUCUCUAGAAAGCUAAUCUCGAUUUGGGCUAAUCUCCAUCAUCUUUGCCUUUGCCUCCCCUCAGUUCUAUGUUCCUCUUUCCUUUUUGCUCAGUCUUUACAUUCUCUGUUUUCCUAUUCAAAGUUUCUAAAGGCAGUGUUUCUUUCUGCUUUCAAACAUCAAAAUGUAUAAUAGUGCUUUCGUUUGCAUUGUGUUUAUAAAACAGGGCUCACUUCUCUUCGGUCUACAGUUGUAUAUGUCAAUGAACCUUUUUCGGUAUUACUUACUUUGUGUUACGUCAUCUAGAUCAGUAGGUGAAAUGCUUCAAGUGAUUGGCUUUUAAAUAAUUUCUUAUUGUGAUUCAUGUAUUAAAAUGUGAAUAAAAUGUAAAUUAAUUUCAUUUUGUACAAAAAACAAGAAGCAAAUUAUAUAUGUAUAAAGGCAUCUAAGUUCGUUUGAGGAGAUUUAUAUUGGUCAGAGAGCAUCAUUCUGGAGGGAAGUAUUUUGGGAUGAGAGUGUGAAAAUAUUAUCAAGGUUCUGCUUGAAAUGAUGAGCAUCCAGGAUGGCGUGCAGUUAUGAUAACAAUACUUCUCCUCAUUUUUUCCCUCAACUGGCAAUAUGUGCUUCUCGUUACCACAGCAACCCAAUCAAUUUCUGAUUACAAAUGCAUGCAGAGCAAUUUGGGCUGAGACUCGGGAAAAUGAAGAGCAUAUUUGUAGAGUUAGAGAAAAUUUGAAAUUAGCCUGUAUCACUCAUCUGAAAGGCUGCACUUGGUAUUAACAAUGAAGAUCAAGACUGAAAACUUAAAAGGGAGAGUUCUAGCGGAUGGUAAGCCAGAUUUUCUUGACAAAUCAUCAUGUCUUGCAAAGAUACAAAACAUUUUUCAGAACUGCUGUUGUUGGUGUGCAAUGGUAUUUAAUGCUAGCAGUUGAAAGCACAGAAGCAGAGAGAGAUGACGGCCCAGACAGCAACGUGGGGACAGCUAAUCACAGCACAGGCGACUUCAAUCGCCUGCUCAUGUGGAUUUAGACGUUAGUUCCCAAAUUGCAGCCUAAAGAUUUUAGAUAAAUACUUUCUUCUUAGUUUUUGAUUUUUUUAUAAACUUAACGAUUUUUUUAAACUCCCUUUUUAAAACUCACUAAUUGUAACAGAAAAUAAACACCAGUAAGAUC